CUCCGCUCACAAAGUGGUUGGUAUAUGUUGUAUUCAUUUGAUUUAUCAUAUCACAGCCAGCUUUGAUGAGUGGGUC
rnacentral:pre_miRNA from 1 species